UUAAUAUAUUUAAUAUUUUUUAUGUAAAAUUAAUUAAAAAAAAAAGAAAUUACAUUAUUAUAAGUUAAUAUUUUUAUAAAAUAAUUAUUUAUAUUAAUUUUAAAAAUUUAUUUUAUUUAUUAAAAGAUUAAUUAAUUUUUAUUACCUUUUGUAUCAGGGAUUAUUAAAAAUUUUUAUUUAUUUAAGUUUCUCGAAUUAAGAAGAAAUAAAAAUUUAAUUAUUUUUUAUAUUAUAUUAUAAUAUUUAAUAAGUUUUUAGAAAUGAAAUAUUAUUCAAUUUUUAAUAUAUCUAGUUAUUUAAUAAAUGAAUUUAAUUCAAAUUUAAUUUUUUAGUUUUAUUAUUUAUAUAAAAUUAUUGAUUUAAAUUAAUAAUUUAAGGGAUAAACUUUAAAUUAAUAUUAUAAUAUUUUAUAUUUAUUAUUAUAUAUAUAUAUAGAAUUAAAAUUAUUUUUUGUUACUAAAUAUUUAAUAAUUUAUUUUUUGUUAUUAUAUAUUUAAUAUUUUAUUUAAUUAAUUAUUAAAUUAUUUAAUGAAAUUUUUUAUUUAAAUUAAUAAUGAUAGUAUAAGUAAAUUUAAUUUUAAUAAUAUAAUUUUAUUAUAAAAUUUAAAGUUAAGGAAUUAGGCAAAUUAAUAAUAUUCACCUGUUUAUCAAAAACAUGUCUUUUAGAUUAUAAUUUUAAGUCUGAUCUGCUCAAUGAUUAAAUAAUUAAAUAGCUGCAGUAUUAAUAACUGUACAAAGGUAGCAUAAUAAUUUGUUUUUUAAUUAAAAACUUGAAUGAAAGAUUUAAUGAAAUAUUAACUGUCUUAAUUUAAUUAUAAUUGAAAUUAUUUAUUAUGUAAAAAAACAUAAAUAUAUUAAAAAGACGAAAAGACCCUAUAGAAUUUUAUAUAAAUAAUAUUAAUUUUAAAAAUUAAUAUUAUUUUAUAUUUAGUUGGGGUGAUUAUAAAAUUUAAUAAACUUUUAUAAAUUAAACAUUAAUUUAUGAUUAAAAUUUCUUAACUAUGGAUUAAUAAAAAAUUACCUUAGGGAUAACAGCAUAAUUUUUUUUUUUAGUUCUUAUAAAUAAAAAAGUUUAUGACCUCGAUGUUGAAUUAAGAUUAAUAAAAAAGUAAAAGUUUUUAAUUUUAAGUCUGUUCGACUUUUAAAAUCUUACAUGAUUUGAGUUAAAAUCGGGGUAAACCAGAUUGGAUUCUAUCUUUUAAAAUAUUAAAUAUUUUUGUACGAAAGGAAUUUAUAUUUAAAAUAAUUUUUUAAAAAUUUAUA
rnacentral:rRNA from 1 species